CCUACGGGCGGCAGCAGUCGAGAAUCAUUCACAAUGGGGGAAACCCUGAUGGUGCGACGCCGCGUGGGGGAAUGAAUGUCUUCGGAUUGUAAACCCUUGUCAUGUGGGAGCAAAUUAAAAAGAUAGUACCACAAGAGGAAGAGACGGCCAACUCGGCAGCAGCAGCCGCGGUAAUACAGAGGUCUCAAGCGUUGUUCUGAAUCACUGGGCGUAAAGCGUGCGUAGGCUGUUUCGUAAGUCGUGUGUGAAAGGCGCGGGCUCAACCCGCGGACGGCACAUGAUACUGCGAGACUAGAGUAAUGGAGGGGUAACUGGAAUUCUUGGUGUAGCAGUGAAAUGCGUAGAUAUCGAGAGGAACACUCGUGGCGAAGGCGGGUUACUGGACAUUAACUGACGCUGAGGCACGAAGGCCAGGGGAGCGAAAGGGAUUAGAUACCCUAGUAGUC
rnacentral:rRNA from 1 species